CCCGCUGAACUUAAGCAUAUCAAUAAGCGGAGGAAAAGAAACUAACAAGGAUUCCCCUAGUAACUGCGAGUGAAGCGGGAAAAGCUCAAAUUUAAAAUCUGGCAGCCUUUGGCUGUCCGAGUUGUAAUCUAGAGAAGUGCUAUCCGCGCUGGACCGUGUACAAGUCUCCUGGAAUGGAGCGUCAUAGAGGGUGAGAAUCCCGUCUCUGACACGGACUCCCAGGGCUUUGUGAUGCGCUCUCAAAGAGUCGAGUUGUUUGGGAAUGCAGCUCUAAAUGGGUGGUAAAUUCCAUCUAAAGCUAAAUAUUGGCGAGAGACCGAUAGCGAACAAGUACCGUGAGGGAAAGAUGAAAAGAACUUUGGAAAGAGAGUUAAACAGUACGUGAAAUUGUUGAAAGGGAAACGCUUGAAGUCAGUCGCAUCGGCUGGGAAUCAACCUUGCUCUUUUGCUUGGUGUAUUUCCCAGCUGAUGGGUCAGCAUCAAUUUUGACCAAUGGAAAAAGGUCAAGGGAAUGUGGCAUCUUCGGAUGUGUUAUAGCCCUUGGCUGUAUACAUUGGUUGGGAUUGAGGAACUCAGCACGCCGCAAGGCCGGGUUUUUAACCACGUUCGUGCUUAGGAUGCUGGCAUAAUGGCUUUAAUCGACCCGUCUUGAAACACGG
rnacentral:rRNA from 1 species